AUUGAACGCUGGCGGCACGCCUAACACAUGCAAGUCGAACGGCAGCGGGCAGUAGCAAUACUGUGCCGGCGAGUGGCGGACGGGUGAGGAAUACAUCGGAAUCUACCCUGUCGUGGGGGAUAACGUAGGGAAACUGACGCUAAUACCGCAUACGACCCACGGGUGAAAGCGGCGGACCGCAAGGCGUCGCGCGAUUGGAUGAGCCGAUGUCCGAUUAGCUAGUUGGCGGGGUAAAGGCCCACCAAGGCGACGAUCGGUAGCUGGUCUGAGAGGAGGAUCGGCCACACUGGAACUGAGACACGGUCCAGACUCCUACGGGAGGCAGCAGUGGGGAAUAUUGGACAAUGGGCGCAAGCCUGAUCCAGCCACGCCGCGUGUGUGAAGAAGGCCUUCGGGUUGUAAAGCACUUUUGUUGGGGAAGAAAAGCGCCUGGUUAAUACCCGGGUGUUCUGACGGUACUCAAAGAAUAAGCACCGGCUAACUUCGUGCCAGCCGCCGCGGUAAAAC
rnacentral:rRNA from 1 species